AUAGCUCUGUGGUUAAGAGCACUUGUUGUUCUGACAGGAGACCUGGGUUCAACUCCCAGU
rnacentral:tRNA from 1 species